AAGUGAUGUAGUAACAUUUUUGUAAUAUUGAAGAAGUUAUUCUAUGUCGUUUAGUCACUAUAACCAGUGUAAAAUGUUGAAUGUUCUUCUUCGCAACCCUUUUUGCGCCUCAAUUUCACUUCCUCUCCAACAAUCUCUGCACUUCCCUACUCCCAAAGGCUUAUCAUUGUUUUCGUUGCUCCCCACCACCAUUAUUAUCGUCAUUGUUGCUUGCUACUCCUGUCGAAGUCUCUGUUGUGGCUGAUUAGUCAUUAAUGGUGGCUUGUCGUUGCG
rnacentral:lncRNA from 1 species